CACGUAGGCACCAAGCGUUGUCCGGAUUUAUUGGGCGUAAAGAGCUCGUAGGCGGUUCGGUAAGUCGGGUGUGAAAACUUUGGGCUCAACCCAAAGCCUGCACUCGAUACUGCUGUGACUUGAGUCCGGUAGGGGAGUGGGGAAUUCCUGGUGUAGCGGUGGAAUGCGUAGAUAUCGGAAGGAACAUCAGUGGCGAAAGCGGCUUCCUGGACCAGUACCGACGUUCAGGCACGAAAGCGUGGGGAGCAAACAGG
rnacentral:rRNA from 1 species